UCACGCUCUCUGGGGCACAUCUCCCCUGG
rnacentral:sRNA from 1 species